GUCCUCUAAAGACCGUGGCAACGAGAGACAAGGCUCUUCAGGUCUUCAUCUUCACCAGAUGGUCCUUCCUCCUUGACUCGAUUCAUCUGAUGAAAUACUAUUCAUCCAGUGGGGCCUAGAUAAAGUGACAUUCAUUCCACCAUAGAAGCUACACUUAGGAGACACUGGACAUUUUGGAUCAUAGGAGUGCUAUGAUUCAAUACAAUGGAAUACUAUGAAGCCAUCAAAAAACCUGAAAUCUUGCCUUUUGCAACAACGUGGAUGG